rnacentral:tRNA from 1 species
AAGUCCCUCUAUCCCCAA